CAAGACCGGUGCCAGCCGCCGCGGUAAUACCGGCAGCACAAGUGAUGGCCGCUGUUAUUGGGCCUAAAGCGUCCGUAGCUGGCCAGGCAAGUCUAUCGGGAAAUCUCCCCGCCUAACGGGGAGGCGUCCGGUGGAAACUGCCUGGCUUGGGACCGGAAGAUCCAGAGGGUACGUCCGGGGUAGGAGUGAAAUCCCGUAAUCCUGGACGGACCACCGGUGGCGAAAGCGCUCUGGAAAGACGGAUCCGACGGUGAGGGACGAAAGCUCGGGUCACGAACCGGAUUAGAUACCCUGGUAGUC
rnacentral:rRNA from 1 species